UGCGUAGGCGGCGUCAUAAGUCAGGGGUGAAAGCCCACAGCUCAACUGUGGAAUUGCCCUUGAUACUGUGGUGCUUGAAUCAGGUUGAGGUAGGCGGAAUGUGGCAUGUAGCGGUGAAAUGCUUAGAUAUGCCAUAGAACACCGAUUGCGAAGGCAGCUUACUGGACCUGCAUUGACGCUGAGGCACGAAAGCGUGGGGAGCGAACA
rnacentral:rRNA from 1 species